UACAGCUCCACGGGAGUACCACAUAUUCAGCAAGGAGGAUAAAAGCGUGUGAUAGCUGCCUCCUUCACUGAUCACUGUCCAGCUUGUGAUCAUCCUGGGCUCACACAGCAGAGCUCAAGUUGAUGGGAUGAAUUCACGGGCAGGUCCCCUCUUCAUGGAUCAAUCAAAAAGGUCUUUGUCCUCUGAUGUUUCACAAUGGCUCAUUUGGUUUCAAUGGAUCCUCUUGUGGGCAGGACCUAACAGCGUUUUACACCAAUUAAUGCUUCUUUCCUGUUUGUUCAAAAGUCUGGAGGCUGAUUUUACUCUCACACCACCAUUUUACAUGGGUCUGACUCUACUGGCAUCACCAGAUUUGCACCUUUGUCACUCACUGCAGCCUGAAAAGAUGGGAAAACGUUCCCCCAAGCCUCACAGCUUCAGUCAUGGUUAAAUCAGAAUACUAACCCAUCUGACAAAAAUACACUGGUCCUCUGGAUUUUCUGAGAUGUCAGCUAUGGCCUGUGUGCAUAAUGGCCAAUAUGCCAGGGGGUAUUUAAAGUGUAGAGUAAUGACAUUAAAUCAGGUCUCAAAGAGAAGGUGAAAAGAAUACUCGUCUACCGUGACUCAACUGAAUUAUUUCUUUUAAAUAAAAACGACCAUGGUAAUCUCACGAUCAUGGAUCCUCCACCAGUAUAAACCAGUGCAGUGCCAAUGAAGUACAUGCAAAUAACGAGCUGGCACAGCGUUACUUUCAUCCUCUAGCUGGUGUCAAUGCUUCCCAUACAUUGGGGGUGACUCCUCAGCUGGUGUAAAGCAGUGCUAGGCUGAGGCCAAAAGGCUUGGCAAGGGCUGGCACCUGGUCUGCCAGCAUAACAAUCCUAACAGGACUUCUGCCUGACUAAGGAAUAUAUGUUGAGGUUUUAGAUAGAAAAAUCUGAUGACAACAAGCUUUGUUGCAAAAUAGAGUCAUUGCUUCUGUUAAUCUUGUGCCAGGAAUAACACAAGAAGACUCCUCCUGGGUGGUAUUUAAUACCGCCUUUCCCAGUAUCUGUUCGAACUGGGCCGUAAUGGGGGAGGGAAGAAGUUAAGUGGACGGUUCAGAACCUUCAGAAAAGUUAAUGGCAGGUUCAGGUCUGGCACUGCACAAAAGGUUAUUUUGGGGGAGGGAGGGGAGUGUCAGAAAUG